UUAAAGUCAAUCUGGUUCGAUGCAGCAAAUGAAAAGACUAUUACAACUGGUCUUGGUGGGUGCAACUGUCCGUGAUCAUUCAUAACUGUGAUCUUGUCCUCUCUGCUUGUCAUCUACCAAGAACCGACCUCCGCCUGAGAAGAUAUAGCUCAAGCUUUGCCACUUAUAUAUAUAUAUAUAUAUAUAUAUAUUAUCAACAAAUGUUAGGUUGUUAGAAAUAGGACUUGAACUCGUGAUCUGUUUUCUAACAGAUUCCCUCAUUUUUCAAAGUACUACAAUAUAUGUAUGUCAUGACUCAUGACUGGGCCCGUUGCAGCUAGCUCCUACAUUAUUUGCUGACUGCAGUAUAGGUCUAGUGAUCCCUAAUUCAACUAGUCUGUUUCCCAAGUUUCAAAUUUUACAUGUAAUUCGAUGGUUUCAUAUCUCAAUACCAUUUGUUUUUAUUAACUUUCAACUAGAUUUUUGGGGCAAUUAUCCAGUAUCCCCUAGCAAAAAAAUCAGAGACAAAUCACUCGAGGAUAUUGAGAUUCUGUUAGAAAACAGAAUAGGUUGUAGGAUUGAACAUAAAUAGCUGAAGGACCCAACAGAAAUGUGGUAGAACGAAACUAGCAACCACACACAUACAAAGAUGGAGCAAAAACUGAUUUGUUGUAUUUCAGUUAUGCAUCAUAUUUAAAGUGUUACAAUGAGAGUUUAAAUACAAAAGCUAUAAAAGUUUCCUAGUGGGCAGAGCAGAAAGCAAUCAAAUGGCUACCAAGGCUACAAGCAAUUUGAUUGUAUCAUGUCUUGCCAUUAGAGCAAAUUUGUAAAAAAAAAUCAACACCAUGUUGCUAAAAUUAACCUUUUACCACCAAUCUAACUUUUUUUUCCCACAAAACCAUCAAAAUUAAGUUUUGUUAUAUAAACUCACAGAACACUAAUUAUUACCUUUUGAUUAUCACUGUUUACCAAUUGCCAAAUGUUUGGUUUUCUCUAUCAUAUUGAUAUUCUCUUGUAUGAAACUUCUCCAUCAUUCUAUUUCAGCAACUUCAACAUUCAUUCAGUUGUAGCUAAAUUGAAUCUAGCAUAGAUGUCAUUUAAGGUUUUGGUACCUUUCAUUAGAAUAAUGUCACUAUCAUACUUUUCUCCAUCUCAGUAGUUUUGCUCUUACAAAUUGUCUUCUCUAGGCAGUCCCUUUCUUAAGCCUUCAACUUAACAUUUCUCCCAAUUCUGUUUUGAUAGCUCACCAAAUUUCACAUAUUUGCUGACAAGGAUUCUUUUAGUGUCUAAUUCGUGGUCAUAAGAAAACUUGCAAAGCAAACAACCUUGAUCAUCUCUCAAGGAUCUCUGAUUUUUACUGGACAAAAGGUUGAUUUAAGAAUAAAAACAUAUUGCAAGUAGAAAUAGAAAUCAAUUCAAUAAAAAUGACCAAUCCAUUUGUUCAACAUCCAAAUUCUUGAUUCAAUUCUAUUUUGACCUUGAAUUUAACCAAUUAAGCAUCAAUAAUUUCAAUAGAAUACCCACUGAAUUAAGCAACCAUAAUUUAAUUAAUUUAGGUUUGACAGUCAAGUGCCUUCUAAGUCACCAGACCAAUUUCUAAAUUGAUUAUUCUUUUAUCAAGUAAAUGAUUAAGCAUCAAAGACCCUAUCAAUCUCAAUUUGAAUAUGAAAAAUCAUGCAUCACAGUCCCUGAUCAAGAAUACAAACCCAAAUUUAGAUGAUGAUGCAUCAACCCAUAAGAAUUCACAAUCAAGAUUUAAAGAAAAUGAGAAAUAUCGAUAGAGAGAUGAUAUAAAAUAAGAAUUGAAAAGAAGUUUAAAAUCAAACCUCAAAGAAAACGAAAACAACAAAAGGGUAAUAAAGUAAGAGAAAGCCGAGAGUGAUGAAAACCCUAGUGAGAAAUAAAGCACAAAUCAAACUGUAAAGGAUCUCUUAUCAAAUGUCCUAAAAAUAGGUUUAAAUAGAGGCUAGCAAGGAUAAAUUAAGACCUUAGUUUGAAAUUGGAGCUCAUUAGUGUUUUAGUAAGAGCUCAAAUACAAAAGCUAUAAAAUCCCCUUAAGUAGAGCAAAAAGCAAUUAGACUAAUGUGCAAAAUUAAACAUCAUAC
rnacentral:lncRNA from 1 species